UACGAAGGGGGCUAGCGUUGUUCGGAAUCACUGGGCGUAAAGCGUCUGUAGGUGGUUCGAAAAGUCCACUGUUAAAAAUUGAGGCUUAACUUCAAAGAUGCCGUGGAAACUUUCAAACUAGAGUAUGGUAGGGGUAGAGGGAAUUUCCAGUGGAGCGGUGAAAUGCGUAGAUAUUGGAAAGACCACCGAUGGCGAAGGCACUCUACUGGGCCAUUACUGACACUGAGAGACGAAAGCCAGGGGAGCAAAUGGG
rnacentral:rRNA from 1 species